rnacentral:rRNA from 1 species
UACGUAGGUGGCGAGCGUUGUCCGGAAUUACUGGGUGUAAAGGGCGUGUAGGCGGGGAUACAAGUCAGAUGUGAAAUACCGUGGCUUAACCACGGGGCUGCAUCUGAAACUGUAUUUCUUGAGUGUCGGAGAGGAAAGUGGAAUUCCCAGUGUAGCGGUGAAAUGCGUAGAUAUUGGGAGGAACACCGAGUGACGAGGCGACUUCUGGACGAUAACUGACGCUGAGGCGCGAAAGCGUGGGGAGCAAACAGGAUUAGAAACCCGGUAGU